UGGUGCCGAUACUGUGGCAACAGAGCGUCAGAUGCCAGAAAGUUAAUCAAACUUGAUCAUUUAGAGGAAGGAAAAGUAACAAGGUUUCCGUAGGUGAACCUGAGGAAGGAUCAUUACC
rnacentral:rRNA from 1 species